rnacentral:rRNA from 1 species
GAUGAACGCUGGCGGCGUGCCUAAUACAUGCAAGUCGAGCGAUCAGACGAGGAGCUUGCUCCUCUGACGUUAGCGGCGGACGGGUGAGUAACACGUGGAUAACCUACCUAUAAGACUGGGAUAACUUCGGGAAACCGGUGCUAAUACCGGAUAAUAUCUUGAACCGCAUGGUUCAAUAGUGAAAGCCGGUUUUGCUGUCACUUAUAGAUGGAUCCGCGCCGCAUUAGCUAGUUGGUAAGGUAACGGCUUACCAAGGCAACGAUGGGUAGCCGACCUGAGAGGGUGAUCGGCGACCCUGGAGCGUGGACACGGACCAUGCGCCUACGAGAGGCAGCAGUAGGGAAUCGGCCGCAAUGGGCGAAAGCCUGGCGGAGCAACGCGACGCGAGUGAUGACGGUCUUGGGAGCGUAAAACUCUGUUAUUAGUUAAGAACAAAUGUGUAAGGAACUAUGCACGUCGUGACGGUACCUAAACAGAAAGCCACGGCUAACUACGUG